rnacentral:rRNA from 1 species
UACGUAGGAGGCAAGCGUUGUCCGGAAUUACUGGGCGUAAAGGGCGUGUAGGUGGUUUUGUAAGUCUGGCGUGAAAUUUUUCGGCUUAACCGGGAAAGGUCGUCGGAUACUGCAAGGCUAGAGGACGGUAGAGGCGUGUGGAAUUCCGGGUGUAGUGGUGAAAUGCGUAGAGAUCCGGAGGAACACCAGUGGCGAAGGCGACACGCUGGGCCGUACCUGACACUGAUGCGCGACAGCAUGGGGAGCAAACAGG